rnacentral:rRNA from 1 species
UACAGAGGUCUCGAGCGUUAGGCGGAAUCACUGGGCUUAAAGCGUGUGUAGGCGGGUCGUUAAGUGCCUUGUGAAAUCCCAUGGCUCAACCAUGGAACUGCUGGGCAUACUGGCGAUCUUGUGCCACCUAGGGGCGAGCGGAACAGAUGGUGGAGCGGUGAAAUGCGUAGAUAUCAGGAGGAACACCGAUGGCGAAGGCAGUGUUCUGGGCCAGUACUGACGCUGAGGAGCGAAAGCGUGGGGAGCAAACAGG